AUACGGAGGGUCCAAGCGUUAUCCGGAUUCAUUGGGUUUAAAGGGUCCGCAGGCGGGAAAAUAAGUCAGUGGUGAAAGCCUACAGCUCAACUGUAGAACUGCCAUUGAUACUGUUUUUCUUGAGUAUAGAUGAAGUGGGCGGAAUAUAUCAUGUAGCGGUGAAAUGCAUAGAUAUGAUAUAGAACACCGAUUGCGAUGGCAGCUUACUAAACUAUUACUGACGCUCAGGGACGAAAGCGUGGGGAGCGAACAGGAUUAGAAACCCCAGUAGUCC
rnacentral:rRNA from 1 species